CCCUACGGGGCGCAGCAGGCGCGAAAACUUUACAAUGCGGGAAACCGUGAUAAGGGAACACCGAGUGCCAGCAUCAUAUGCUGGCUGUCCAGAUGUGUAAACUACAUCUGUCAGCAAGGGCCGGGCAAGACCGGUGCCAGCCGCCGCGGUAACACCGGCGGCCCGAGUGGUGACCGUUAUUAUUGGGUCUAAAGGGUCCGUAGCCGGUUUGGUCAGUCCUCCGGGAAAUCUGAUAGCUUAACUGUUAGGCUUUCGGGGGAUACUGCCAGGCUUGGAACCGGGAGAGGUAAGAGGUACUACAGGGGUAGGAGUGAAAUCUUGUAAUCCCUGUGAGACCACCUGUGGCGAAGGCGUCUUACCAGAACGGGUUCGACGGUGAGGGACGAAAGCUGGGGGCACGAACCGGAUUAGAUACCCGGGUAGUCCCAGCCGUAAACUAUGCUCGCUAGGUGUCAGGCAUGGCGCGACCGUGUCUGGUGCCGCAGGGAAGCCGUGAAGCGAGCCACCUGGGAAGUACGGCCGCAAGGCUGAAACUUAAAGGAAUUGGCGGGGGAGCACAACAACGGGUGGAGCCUGCGGUUUAAUUGGACUCAACGCCGGACAACUCACCGGGAACGACA
rnacentral:rRNA from 1 species